GAGAUAGAAAGUUACUUCGGUACAUCGGUGACAGGUGGUGCAUGGUUGUCGUCAGCUCGUGUCGUGAGAUGUUGGGUUAAGUCCCGCAACGAGCGCAACCCCUAUUGUUAGUUGCCAUCAUUUAGUUGGGCACUCUAGCGAGACUGCCGGUAAUAAACCGGAGGAAGGUGGGAUGACGUCAAAUCAUCAUGCCCCUUAUGACCUGGGCUACACACGUGCUACAAUGGUUGGUACAACGAGUUGCGAGUCGGUGACGGCGAGCUAAUCUCUUAAAGCCAAUCUCAGUUCGGAUUGUAGGCUGCAACUCGCCUACAUGAAGUCGGAAUCGCUAGUAAUCGCGGAUCAGCACGCCGCGGUGAAUACGUUCCCGGACCUU
rnacentral:rRNA from 1 species